rnacentral:rRNA from 1 species
GACGAACGCUGGCGGCGUGCUUAACACAUGCAAGUCGAACGGAAAGGCCCUGCUUUUGUGGGGUGCUCGAGUGGCGAACGGGUGAGUAACACGUGAGUAACCUGCCCUUUACUUUGGGAUAACUUCAGGAAACUGGGGCUAAUACCGGAUAGGAGCUCCUGCUGCAUGGUGGGGGUUGGAAAGUUUCGGCGGUUGGGGAUGGACUCGCGGCUUAUCAGCUUGUUGGUGGGGUAGUGGCUUACCAAGGGUUUGACGGGUAGCCGGCCUGAGAGGGUGAACGGCCACAUUGGGACUGCGAUACGGCCCAGACGCCUACGGGAGGCAGCAGUGGGGAAUCUUGCAGAAUGGGCGGAAGCCUGAUGCAGCAACGCCGCGUGCGGGAUGACGGCCUUCGGGUUGUAAACCGCUUUCGCCUGUGACGAAGCGUGAGUGACGGUAAUGGGUAAAGAAGCACCGGCUAACUACGUG